CAUCUCAGUUCAGAUUGCAGGCUGCAACUCGCCUGCAUGAAGUCGGAAUUGCUAGUAAUCGUAGGUCAGCAUACUACGGUGAAUACGUUCCCGGGCCUUGUACACACCGCCCGUCAAACCAUGAGAGUUGGCAACACCCGAAGUCGGUAGUCUAACCGCAAGGAGGACGCCGCCGAAGGUGGGGUUGAUGAUUAGGGUUAAGUCGUAACAAGGUAUC
rnacentral:rRNA from 1 species